rnacentral:rRNA from 1 species
GACGAGGGGUCCUAGCGUUGUUCGGAAUCACUGGGCGUAAAGAGUUCGUAGGCGGCUCCAUAAGUCGGGUGUGAAAUCCCACGGCUCAACCGUGGAUGUGCAUUCGAAACUGCGGAGCUUGAAUAUGGUAGAGGAGAGUAGAAUUGCUGGUGUAGUGGUGAAAUACGUAGAUAUCAGCAGGAAUACCGGUGGCGAAGGCGGCUCUCUGGACCAAUAUUGACGCUGAGGAACGAAAGUGCGGGGAUCAAACAGG